rnacentral:misc_RNA from 1 species
AAGACUAUAGACCUGCGGAGUACCUGCGGAAGGAUCAUUACAGGACUCGCAAGACUCCUACAACCCUGUGAACCUACUAUACGAACGUUGCUUCGGCGGGUGCGCCCCGGGGAUUCGUUCCCGCGGCGCGUCAGCCCGCCGGCAGCCUACAAAUUCUGUUUCUUUGCGUUGGCAUCUCGAGAAAAACAAAUAAGUUAAAACUUUUAACAAUGGAUCUCU